rnacentral:rRNA from 1 species
AUUGAACGCUGGCGGCAUGCCUUACACAUGCAAGUCGAACGGCAGCACGGGAGCAAUCCUGGUGGCGAGUGGCGAACGGGUGAGUAAUAUAUCGGAACGUGCCCAGUCGUGGGGGAUAACGUAGCGAAAGCUACGCUAAUACCGCAUACGAUCUAUGGAUGAAAGCGGGGGAUCGCAAGACCUCGCGCGAUUGGAGCGGCCGAUAUCAGAUUAGGUAGUUGGUGAGGUAAAGGCUCACCAAGCCGACGAUCUGUAGCUGGUCUGAGAGGACGACCAGCCACACUGGGACUGAGACACGGCCCAGACUCCUACGGGAGGCAGCAGUGGGGAAUUUUUGGACAAUGGGCGCAAGCCUGAUCCAGCAAUGCCGCGUGCAGGAUGAAGGCCUCGGUUGGUUAACGUUAGUACGUUUGUUACGG